UCUCCGUUGGUGAACCAGCGGAGGGAUCAUUACCGAGUUUACAACUCCCAAACCCAAUGUGAACCAUACCAAACUGUUGCCUCGGCGGGGUCACGCCCCGGGUGCGUCGCAGCCCCGGAACCAGGCGCCCGCCGGAGGGACCAACCAAACUCUUUUCUGUAGUCCCCUCGCGGACGUUAUUUCUUACAGCUCUGAGCAAAAAUUCAAAAUGAAUCAAAACUUUCAACAACGGAUCUCUUGGUUCUGGAAUCGAUGAAGAACGCAGC
rnacentral:misc_RNA from 1 species